rnacentral:rRNA from 1 species
UACGGAGGGAGCUAGCGUUGUUCGGAUUUACUGGGCGUAAAGGGCGCGUAGGCGGCUUGACAAGUCACUUGUGAAAUCUCCGGGCUUAACUCGGAACGGCCAAGUGAAACUGUCAUGCUAGAGUGCAGAAGGGGCAAUCGGAAUUCUUGGUGUAGCGGUGAAAUGCGUAGAUAUCAAGAGGAACACCUGAGGUGAAGACGGGUUGCUGGGCUGACACUGACGCUGAGGAGCGAAAGCGUGGGGAGCGAACAGG